rnacentral:lncRNA from 1 species
GUUUAGAGUUAAAAGGUGGGGUUUAGGAUUUAGGGUUUAAAGUUUAGGGUUUAGAGUUUAGGGUUUAGGGUUUAGAUUUUAGGGUUUAGGGUUUAGGGUUUAGGGUUUAGAGUUUAGGGUUUAGGGUUUAGAGUUGAGAAAUGAUGUUUUGGGGAUAAGAUUUCAAAUUUUGAAAAAUAAAAAAAUUAAAAUUUUCAAAGGAUAAACUUAAAAAGGUGCUAUUUUGGUCAUUUUAGUUUUUGAGUUCUAUUUUUGUGAUAUAAACUUA